GCCCUUAGAGUUUGAUCCUGGCUCAGAUUGAACGCUGGCGGCAGGCCUAACACAUGCAAGUCGAGCGGUAGCACAAGAGAGCUUGCUCUCUGGGUGACGAGCGGCGGACGGGUGAGUAAUGUCUGGGAAACUGCCUGAUGGAGGGGGAUAACUACUGGAAACGGUAGCUAAUACCGCAUGACGUCUUCGGACCAAAGUGGGGGACCUUCGGGCCUCACGCCAUCAGAUGUGCCCAGAUGGGAUUAGCUAGUAGGUGGGGUAAUGGCUCACCUAGGCGACGAUCUCUAGCUGGUCUGAGAGGAUGACCAGCCACACUGGAACUGAGACACGGUCCAGACUCCUACGGGAGGCAGCAGUGGGGAAUACUGCACAAUGGGCGCAAGCCUGAUGCAGCCAUGCCGCGUGUAUGAAGAAGGCCUUCGGGUUGUAAAGUACUUUCAGCGGGGAGGAAGGGAGUAAAGUUAAUACCUUUGCUCAUUGACGUUACCCGCAGAAGAAGCACCGGCUAACUCCGUGCCAGCAGCCGCAGUAAUACGGAGGGUGCAAGCGUUAAUCGGAAUUACUGGGCGUAAAGCGCACGCAGGCGGUUUGUUAAGUCAGAUGUGAAAUCCCCGGGCUCAACCUGGGAACUGCAUCUGAUACUGGCAAGCUUGAGUCUCGUAGAGGGGGGUAGAAUUCCAGGUGUAGCGGCGAAAUGCGUAGAGAUCUGGAGGAAUACCGGUGGCGAAGGCGGCCCCCUGGACGAAGACUGACGCUCAGGUGCGAAAGCGUGGGGAGCAAACAGGAUUAGAUACCCUGGUAGUCCACGCCGUAAACGAUGUCGACUUGGAGGUUGUGCCCUUGAGGCGUGGCUUCCGGAGCUAACGCGUUAAGUCGACCGCCUGGGGAGUACGGCCGCAAGGUUAAAACUCAAAUGAAUUGACGGGGGCCCGCACAAGCGGUGGAGCAUGUGGUUUAAUUCGAUGCAACGCGAAGAACCUUACCUGGUCUUGACAUCCACAGAACUUUCCAGAGAUGGAUUGGUGCCUUCGGGAACUGCGAGACAGGUGCUGCAUGGCUGUCGUCAGCUCGUGUUGUGAAAUGUUGGGUUAAGUCCCGCAACGAGCGCAACCCUUAUCCUUUGUUGCCAGCGGUCCGGCCGGGAACUCAAAGGAGACUGCCAGUGAUAAACUGGAGGAAGGUGGGGAUGACGUCAAGUCAUCAUGGCCCUUACGACCAGGGCUACACACGUGCUACAAUGGCGCAUACAAAGAGAAGCGACCUCGCGAGAGCAAGCGGACCUCAUAAAGUGCGUCGUAGUCCGGAUUGGAGUCUGCAACUCGACUCCAUGAAGUCGGAAUCGCUAGUAAUCGUGGAUCAGAAUGCCACGGUGAAUACGUUCCCGGGCCUUGUACACACCGCCCGUCACACCAUGGGAGUGGGUUGCAAAAGAAGUAGGUAGCUUAACCUUCGGGAGGGCGCUUACCACUUUGUGAUUCAUGACUGGGGUGAAGUCGUAACAAGGUAACCGUAAAGGGC
rnacentral:rRNA from 1 species